rnacentral:rRNA from 1 species
UACGUAGGGCGCAAGCGUUGUCCGGAAUUAUUGGGCGUAAAGCGCACGUAGGUGGUCUGUUAUGUCAGAUGUGAAAGCCCUCGGCUUAACUGAGGAAGUGCACCUGAAACUGGCAGGCUUGAGUACGAAAGAGGGUCGCGGAAUUCCCGGUGUAGAGGUGAAAUUCGUAGAUAUCGGGAGGAACACCGGUGGCGAAGGCGGCGACCUGGUUCGAUACUGACACUGAGGUGCGAAAGCGUGGGGAGCAAACAGG